rnacentral:rRNA from 1 species
GACGAACGCUGGCGGCGUGCUUAACACAUGCAAGUCGAACGGAAAGGCCCUGCUUGCAGGGUACUCGAGUGGCGAACGGGUGAGUAACACGUGGGUGAUCUGCCCUGCACUUCGGGAUAAGCCUGGGAAACUGGGUCUAAUACCGGAUAGGAGCCAUUUUUAGUGUGAUGGUUGGAAAGUUUUUUCGGUGUAGGAUGAGCUCGCGGCCUAUCAGCUUGUGGUGGGGUAAUGGCCUACCAAGGCGGCAACGGGUAGCCGGCCUGAGAGGGUGGACGGCCACAUUGGGACUGAGAUACGGCCCAGACUCCUACGGGAGGCAGCAGUGGGGAAUAUUGCACAAUGGGCGCAAGCCUGAUGCAGCGACGCCGCGUGGGGGAUGACGGCCUUCGGGUUGUAAACUCCUUUCGCUAGGGACGAAGCUUUUUGUGACGGUACCUAGAUAAGAAGCACCGGCUAACUACGUG